ensembl:lincRNA
AUCAGUACAAUGCGCCACACCGUCGCAGUGCGGAGCAGAGGGUCUCAUUGCUUGUGCUGUUGCAGGUGGGGCCCCUCACACCUCCUAUCCCGCGAGUCCGUCUCCAGACGCCUCCACCACUACAGGACGGUCGAGGAACAGCGCAGUGGUGGGCGGACCCUGCUGUGUGGACGGUACAGGUGCUGAGGACAACGCCCAUCUGUUCAAUGAAGAUAUUAUUCGACUGGUGUCAGUCAUUGCAAUUUCCGGAUUGAUCCUCUUGAUCAUCUGUGGUGAGUUCUUCUCCUUAAACAGAAUCCCGUUCUAUUCUGGUGGAACACGGCGCUUUAGAAGUCGAAUCAUAAUUACAGUUCAGUUGCUCGUCCAUGAUCUGAUAUGUUCGCCCGUUCAGACAGCUGUGCAUUCCAACAACUCAUACAGGAGUGACGCAGAGUGCUCGGAGCUCCAGCUGCAGUCUCUUAACCUGGACUCGAGCCCGCAGCCCUCUAGUUACAAACCUCAACCAAGCCGCUACACUGCUGUCUUGUCUCUGCGCUGCUUGGUCAGACGGAUGAGAUUCAAAUCGAUUCCAUUUUUUUUUUGUGUGCGCCUGGGACAGUAUUACACAUCCACACAGCUAGAAUCAUAAUUUCGUUGAGGCUUGUGGUGCGAAAUGAACUGAAUUUCUAUGUAAGUCAGCGGAAAGCAGGCUUGUUUGGACGCUGGCUGAAAAUCACAGCUCUCCACGCGGAACUGAAAAUAAGGUGAUUCAUUACAGUGGCGGAAGCGCGGAGCCCGGGCGAAUCUACAGAACUUUCCCACUUUGCCCUGCUUUCACAGGAAUGAAGCGGGCCGGCGAGGCAGAAGCGGAAGUCGCGAACUCCCAGGCUGCAGCGCCCACGGCGAGCCGCACGUCAAGAGUGGAGUCGGAAUAUGUGGAAAUACCCCUGCGCGCCCCGCAGGUCCCCUCGGCCAGCUGGCGUGUGCAGGACGUCACACAUUCGGGCAAUGUGGUUAAUUCAUUGGCAGUCUAGGAAAUGUUUCUAAAUGUCGAAUUAAGCACAAAGUCGUGAACUUUUUCACGAGAGUUUGCGAGACCUGCAACGUCACGCAGCCCUGUAAUGACUGGUGGACUGUGACGUACGACCGAAUCGGUACAGGUUGUGCAGCAGACAUUUCACCUCAGAAAUGUUCCAACACGAUCUGCGCGGAGAGUUAAGAGGAAAGGAGUAUUUGUCAACAAACCUGGAAGUCGAACAAUGUAAUAAGGUGGCUUCACCUCGACAGGAGGUUUUGUUGCCUCGUUCAGAAUCACAGAACACGGCGCUGCACAAACCUGGGAAUUUAGCCGAUUUUGUGAUGUAAAUUGGAGGUUUUACAAGUUACUGUGUACAUUUAGCUUUCAUUGUGGUUUGAAAUGCGCUCAUCGAUGCUGACUGUUUCAAAUCCUGAAAUAUUAAAGUAGCGUCGCAGUUCCCCUUUCAUGCAUUUCAAAUAUUUCAGUACAUAAAACACGAACAAAUUCUUCAAAGGAAGUGAUGAACAGUGAAACACGAAUCAGAGGACACAAGUGGAAACUAUGAAAAAGUGUACUUGAGACCAAGAACAGGAGGCACCACUCUUUACGCAAAAGUGGAAGUGUGGAACAAGCUCACCAGCCAUGUUCUGAUAAUAAUUACUUACACUUAUAUAGCACUUUUCUGGACACAUCACUCAAAGCGCUUUACAGGUAAUGGGGACUCCCCUCCACCACCACCAGUGUGCAGCCCCACCUGGAUGAUGCGACGGCAGCCAUAGUGCGCCAGAACGCUCACCACACACCAGCUCUCAAUGGGGAGGAGAACAGAGUGAUGAAGCCAGUUCAGAGAUGGGGAUUAUUAGGAGGCCAUGAUUGGUAAGGGCCAAUGGGGUUACACCCCGACUCUUUUUGAGAAACGCCCUGGGAUUUUUAAUGACUGCAGAGAGUCAGGACCUCAGUUUUACAUUUCAUCCAAAGGACGGCGCCUGUUUACAGUAUAGUGUCCCCAUCACUAUACCAGGGCAUUAGGACCCACAUGGACUGCAGGGUGAGCGCCCCCUGCUGGCCCCACUAACACCUCUUCCAGCAGCAGCCUUAGUUUUUUCCAGGAGGUCUCCCAUCCAGGUACUGACCAGGCUCACACCUGCUGAGCUUCAGUGGGUUACCAGCUGUGAGUUGCAAGGUGAUAUGGCUGCUGACUUGAAGCUGAUACCCUAGCUUCUUUGAAGAAAUAGCUGGAUGAGAUCCUCCAGUGAGGACAGGUGGCACAUCUAUACACAAAGAGUUGUAGGAGUAUGGAAUAAGCAACCAAGCCAUGUGGUUGAGGCAGAUAUCAUGGCUUUUUUCAAGAUAUUGUUAAUGUAAAUAAGAUCAUCAGAUCAAUUAGGUACUAACUACAUAACAGACUAGAUGAGACUGAAUGGCUUCCUCUCAUUUGUAACCUUUUGUAUUGUCUUAAGUAGUGUGUAUAUGAAAAAACAAAAUCCCGAGCUGUCCCUAAAACUGGACUAUUAUCUUCUUCAUGUGACCUCUGUGUAACCUUCAUGAUGCCCCUUUGUGAAUACCCUGGGCUUUUUACAUUUUUCUGAAAUGUUUUAUGAACUCCAUAAGAGUGGUGCUGUUUGAGAUCUGUUUUUCUGAUUAACAAAAAGUGCCUUUUACUUCCUAGUGAAAAGCAUGCUGUGGUCUCACAGGUUGAGAUACCACACUGUCACCUGGUGGAGAAAUAAAGUAAUUAUACAAAAGUCUUAGAUGCAUAUUCAUUUAAAGAUUGCAAUUAAUUCUUAUGCAGUUUAUGAUAUAAUUGUGCAUGUAUUGGGAGGCAUAAGAGACAGAUACUGGGGAAAUAAAGUUAUUUCCUAUAAAAAAAGGCAACAUGAUCUGAUUUUCUAAUGUGUUCUUCAGUGAGAGAGGAAGACUUUGAAAUGCUAGUUACCACUCCUGUUCCCUCUGAGACAGUCUGCC